GGCCAACUCCAUAAAAAAUUUAAGGACUUCCCUGGUGGCUCAGUGGUGAAGAAUCUGCUUGCAAUGCAGGAGACCACCUGCAAUGCAGAAGAUGCGGUUCAAUCCCUGGGUCAGGAAGAUCCCCUGGAGAAGGAAAUGGCAGCCCACUACAGUAUUCUUGCCUGGGAAAUCUCAUGGACAGAGGAGCCUGGCGGGCCACCGUCCAUUGAGUUACAAAGAGUAGACACGACUGAGCGACUGUCACUUUCAUGAUGACCAUAGUGUGGGACUUAUUCAUCCUACUCUGAAUUGCUUAACAUCACAUACUCUGUGAGUUCAUCUUGACUAUUAGCCUCCAGACUCAUCCUUCGGUCCAGCCAGCCAGCUUUUUGUCUUGCCUGUGUGACCUGCUGCCCCAGCUCCAGCUCCAGCUCCUGAAUAUCUGAUUUCAAAGGGUUAUAGAAAACAGAAUUGACAAAUCAGCUGGGUGGAGUAGCAUGACCUAGAUGAAGAAAAACUGGCCUGGGGUCUGCCUGACCCCUUUCCAGGACAUCUCCCUUUCAGUGACAGCAGGCUCCCUGAUAAAGACAAGCCCUCCUGAACCUGAGUAGAUAAGGAGAGUUAACUGCUUCUGGUCUUAAGUUGUGGUAGAAGUUCUUGCUGUCCUUGCUGGUUACUUGGCUUUCCAGCAAGUUGGAGCUAUGACCCAACCAUGCAAAAUGAACAAACCCUUCAAGCAAUGUGGAUGCAGAGACAUUGGGAAACAGAGUAAAUUAUGCAUUAUGAGCAUAUGAACUGUAUAUGGGAAAUAGAGGUUGAGCGGUCCAGUGUAGACAGAAAUCUGAAUAAAUCUGCUGUAGUGAUUUUAGUAAUUUAUGGCAUGGUAUUGAGUUGUCCAAAAACUUUGUUCAGGUAUUUCUAUACGAUAGUACCAAAAACCCCAGAACGAAUGAACUUUUGGGCAACCAAUACAAAUCUAUAUCUAAGUAUUUAUUUUGUCCAGGUAGUCUGAGCUAUUAAUAUUUCAGAAUUAUCAAAGAGAGUUCUUACAACCCAGAUGGUUUGCUGUUUCAACUCUUACUUGAUUUGUAUUUCUUUCUGGAAGCUAGAUAAAAUGGAAAAUGAAUUUUGAGGAGAUUAGAUUAGUGAAAACCUGGAAAUGUAGUUUCUGUUUAGUUGCCAAAGGAGUGCCCAGUGAGAUACCCUGAAAGUCUGAGGUUCAGUUUAAAUGAUCAUUUGUGCUUUUUCUUUUUUUUUAAUGCUUCUAUUAAAAAUAUUUCAAUAGACCCAUUUGGCCUCGAUGAUUUUUAAAUGUAAUGUAAUGAAAAUAUCAAUUUCUCAAGUAAUUGAUAAUGAAUGAGAAACAUGUAGAGAAUGCUUAUUGACAUUUAUUAUCCACGAGGGGCGCUGUGGUGAUGUCAGUAACCACAUGAAAACCCAAGACACAAAUCUGCU